rnacentral:lncRNA from 10 species
GAGACACACAGCUCCUGUCCUGGGAAGCUGAUUCUGAGGGCGGGACCCUGCCCCUACCCCAGGGAGCCCAGAGUCUGAGGGGAGACGCCAUCUCAGCCCUGCCCUGUUCCUUCCUUUUGGACUAAUGGCUGAGUGACCCAACUGGAUUUCCUUGGCUUGAACCUGAGCAAGCCCUCUCUCUCUAAAGACUUGAAUGCCUACUCCCUUCACUGAGUGGUUUCUUCUGUUCCUGGCCAACUCAGUGAGAAAGCAAUCAUCUGCAAGCCGGGAAGAGAGCCCUCAUCAGAACUCAACGAUGCAAUCCCUAGUGAGCCUGAUGAUCAAACUUCUGAGCGAUCAGAUUCCUGAAAGAGCAGUCUCUCCAUGACAAAAGAUGGAUUUGGAAAUGAGAAAGCAAUUUCUGUAAAACUUCUGCACCUGUGGUAGACUCAGAAACACACACAAGGCUAUAAAUGUCUUUAUGCACUUAUUAAUUUUCCAAUAAACAUACUCAACAGUACACCUAAUAGGGAAGUUCUGUGAUUAAUUUUUCAAACAAUAAGAAAAUAAAUGAUCAGAAAG